AGAACGAACGCUGGCGGCAUGCCUAAUACAUGCAAGUCGAACGAACUCUUCGGAGUUAGUGGCGCACGGGUGCGUAACGCGUGGGAAUCUGCCCCUUGGUUCGGAAUAACAGUUGGAAACGACUGCUAAUACCGGAUGAUGACGAAAGUCCAAAGAUUUAUCGCCAAGGGAUGAGCCCGCGUAGGAUUAGCUAGUUGGUGAGGUAAAGGCUCACCAAGGCAACGAUCCUUAGCUGGUCUGAGAGGAUGAUCAGCCACACUGGGACUGAGACACGGCCCAGACUCCUACGGGAGGCAGCAGUAGGGAAUAUUGGACAAUGGGACGAAAGCCUGAUCCAGCAAUGCCGCGUGAGUGAUGAAGUCGUUAGGUUAUAAAGCUUACUUUACCGAGUA
rnacentral:rRNA from 1 species